rnacentral:rRNA from 1 species
AUUGAACGCUGGCGGCAGGCCUAACACAUGCAAGUCGAGCGGCAGCGGAAAGUAGCUUGCUACUUUGCCGGCGAGCGGCGGACGGGUGAGUAAUGUCUGGGAAACUGCCUGAUGGAGGGGGAUAACUACUGGAAACGGUAGCUAAUACCGCAUAACGUCGCAAGACCGAAGAGGGGGACCUUCGGGCCUCUUGCCAUCAGAUGUGCCCAGAUGGGAUUAGCUAGUAGGUGGGGUAACGGCUCACCUAGGCGACGACCCCUAGCUGGUCUGAGAGGAUGACCAGCCACACUGGAACUGAGACACGGUCCAGACUCCUACGGGAGGCAGCAGUGGGGAAUAUUGCACAAUGGGCGCAAGCCUGAUGCAGCCAUGCCGCGUGUAUGAAGAAGGCCUUCGGGUUGUAAAGUACUUUCAGCGGGGAGGAAGGUGUUAAGGUUAAUAACCUCAGCAAUUGACGUUACCCGCAGAAGAAGCACCGGCUAACUCCGUGCCAGCCGCCGCGGUAACAC